UACGUAGGGUGCAAGCGUUGUCCGGAAUUAUUGGGCGUAAGAGCACGUAGGCGGUUUGUCGCGUCUGCUGUGAAAUCUGGGGGCUCAACCCCCAGCCUGCAGUGGGUACGGGCAGACUAGAGUGCGGUAGGGGAGAUUGGAAUUCCUGGUGUAGCGGUGGAAUGCGCAGAUAUCAGGAGGAACACCGAUGGCGAAGGCAGAUCUCUGGGCCGUAACUGACGCUGAGGAGCGAAAGCGUGGGGAGCGAACAGG
rnacentral:rRNA from 1 species